rnacentral:rRNA from 1 species
CGUGUAGGCGGUUUUUUAAGUCUGAUGUGAAAGCCCUGGGCUCAACCUGGGAAGUGCAUUGGAUACUGGAAGACUUGAGUACGGGAGAGGGUAGUGGAAUUCCUAGUGUAGGAGUGAAAUCCGUAGAUAUUAGGAGGAACACCGGUGGCGAAGGCGGCUGCCUGGACCGAUACUGACGCUGAGACGCGAAAGCGUGGGGAGCAAACA